rnacentral:lncRNA from 1 species
AUCGUGUCAUUUUUUAACGGCCGCGGACUUGACUCUCAGAUCCGUGGACUAAGACUCGAUCCAUCCACAAAUUUCACUCGGAUUCGAAACAUUUGGAUUUGAAUACAGCCCAGGAUCACCAUUUUACAUCCUAUGCAAGGUUACAAAUACGGAUAAAAAUAGAACAUGUUCUAUGCCGGAAUGUAAAAUGGGAUAUCGGUCAAAUAAAAAAUGAAACUAAUCAAAAAUCAUAUUACAUGACUUCCCAACUGUUGUGGAAAUGAUUAAUAAAUGGAAAAGAACCAUUAAGCACCAUCGUUUCAUUCCUAAUUACGGCCAAGUAUAAAACAUACAUAGGGGCCCAGAAUCAAUUGGUAGGAUGUCAAUUCCUCCCAACUAUGGAUUUGUCAUUUAAGGAUAGUUGGGAAUUGUUCACACCUUAAGAAUAGCUGAUUCGUAAUCAACCAAUCAACGCGAAGAAAAUUUAUUUGGUAAAAAGAAGCAAGAAAAUGUAUAUAUGACAACAAAUUACUGUAUAUUUUAAUGAAGACAUGCCCCCAGGCCUCCUACAGACUCCACCUAUACUAUGGAGGAAUCACGAUUAAUAGGACCGAUAAAUAAGUCUAGAUGUAUGGAAACUGCUUUGAAAAUAUUGGAUCGAAUUUAGCAGAAUUUUUUUUUACAAAAACAUACAAAUGACACCUGAAAAGUGCAACUUGCUGUCCAUCUAUUCACGUUUCUUCAAUAAACACUAUUGUACGUUCAUUUCACAAAUUGACAAUCAACAUGUUUUUUUACACAAUUAACUAACACUAUAGCCUAUUAUAGUGCCUUAAAAAAAUGCAUUAUUUUCCCCAAUUAAAUCAAACACUUACUCAUUUCAUAGCUUCUAUAAUUGUAGAUAACAAAUGCUGAAAUACCACAAAUUGACAUUUCGACUCUAUUUUGUGUGCAUGCCAUGAUUUAUUGCCUUCCACAGAGCAUAGGAUGCAUAUGCACUUAAAAAUAAAUAUCAAACUAUAUGUAAUAGUUAUACCUAUAUAAUUGCAACUUGAAGCUAAAUAUAUCACAAUUAGUAUUGGAUCAGUCCCGGGACUGCAUUUCUAA